rnacentral:rRNA from 1 species
AUACGGAGGGGGCUAGCGUUGUUCGGAAUUACUGGGCGUAAAGCGCGCGUAGGCGGAUCGUUAAGUCAGGGGUGAAAGCCCGGAGCUCAACUCCGGAACUGCCCUUGAUACUGGCGAUCUAGAGUCCGGGAGAGGUGAGCGGAAUUCCUAGUGUAGAGGUGAAAUUCGUAGAUAUUAGGAGGAACACCAGUGGCGAAGGCGGCUCACUGGCCCGGUACUGACGCUGAGGUGCGAAAGCGUGGGGAGCAAACAGGAUUAGAAACCCCUGUAGUCC